UACGAAGGGGACUAGCGUUGUUCGGAAUCACUGGGCGUAAAGCGCACGUAGGCGGAUUUGUAAGUCAGGGGUGAAAUCCCGGGGCUCAACCUCGGAACUGCCUUUGAUACUGCGAAUCUUGAGUCCGAUAGAGGUGGGUGGAAUUCCUAGUGUAGAGGCGAAAUUCGUAGAUAUUAGGAAGAACACCAGUGGCGAAGGCGGCCCACUGGAUCGGUACUGACGCUGAGGUGCGAAAGCGUGGGGAGCAAACAGG
rnacentral:rRNA from 1 species